UGUUUUGUUUUUGUUUUUGUUGUUUUGUUUUUGGCAGGCAAACUUAUCCCAAACCUCUUGUUCUGAGUGAAGCUAAAGAGGAGUUGCUGAUCUACAGACUACCUCAGGUCCUUCGGUUGCACCUUAAACGCUUCAGGUAUUAAACGUGGAACCUUACUGCUGCAGGGACUCUCUGCCCUCCCUUGCCACAGAGACCUUUGUCUGUGACCCCUCAGCUGUGGCGAUGCAUCACGGGAAGGGCUUUGGCUCAGGACGCUGCACAGCCUAUUGCUACAACACAGAGGGAGGUUUUUGGGUGCACUGCAAUGACUCCAAACUGAAUGUGUGUAGUGUGGAGGAGGUGUGCAAGACCCAGGCCUACAUCCUCUUCCACACUCGGAGAACGCUGCAGGACAAAGCAGGAAUCCCAGAAAAACAACUCCAAGCUCAGGUUUUUGCCACCCAAAACCAGUGACAAGGACACAAGACUGACAUUGCCAUGAGGGGACAUUCCCAGCUUCUUUUGGGGAACUUUUGGUGUUCAUCUUCCCCUUCUUUGCAGGGAAAACUGCAGGAAUGGGAUCAGGGCAGGAAGGGGAUCAGGGUAGGGACGGGAUCAGGGCAGGAAGGGGAUCAGGGUAGGGACGGGAUCAGGGCAGAGAUCAGGGCAGGGACGGGAUCCGGGCAGGGAUGGGAUCAGGGCAGGAAAGGGAUCGGGGCACGGAUCAUGGCAGGGACGGGAUCACAGCAGGGAUGGGAUCAGGGCAAGAUAUUUGGAAAACCUUCUGGAGCUGGGCAGUUCCGAUUUGGGGCAGAAUCUUGGGGUUUGAGUGUCUUUUCAGCUCAAAAAAAAAAUGAAACUAUAAAGUUUGAUGCUGUUCAUUCAUCCCCUAUCAAAGAGGAAUGAGCCCAAGCUGGCAAUGGGAGAAUCCAGCUGGAUCAACACCCUUCAAUCCCUAAAAAUCCUGAUCCAGCUCCAACUCCAAGAGGAACAGGUACAGUACCCUUGAGUGGUCUGGUAAAUCCCAGGGAAACUCCCAGAGCUGUUCCUGCUGGAAAAAAAUGUUUAAAUUCUUCUCAGUUCCUCCUCUGCUGCCCCUGAUAGCGAUUUCUGCGCCCCGGGUGAAGCUUUGCCAGCAGCUCUGUGUGGCUGCGGCACUGCGGCUGUGCCACAUUCCAGGAUUUGCUCAGGGCUGAUCUAGCUGGCAGCUAAAUUCCCUCAGAAACGGGAUUUUCAUGGAGUUCUGCUGUGGAGAAAAUGGGUCGUAGCCCUCGAAAAGUUGGGUUUGACACACCAAAAAUGGGUUUUAAACCCCCCCCCGAAAUGGGUUUUAACCUCCAUAAAUGUGUUUAAGCACAGAAAAAAUGUGUUCUACCACACAAAAAAUGUAGUUUAACCCCCAGAAAUGUGUUUUAACACACAUCAAGUGGGUUUUAACACAUAAAGUGUUUGAACCCCCGAAAAUGGGGUUUAACACACAAAAAAUGCAUUUUUAU